UCAAAAACUAAAGCCAUGCAUGGUGUAAGUAUAAGCGAAUUAUACUGUGAAACUGCGAACGGCUCAUUAUAUCAGUUAUAAUCCCUUCGGUAGUUCCUUUAUACGGAUACCUGCAGUAAUUCUGGAAUUAAUACGUGCUUUAGGGGCCCGACUUUCGGGGAGGGCCGCACUUAUUAGGAUUGAAGCCAAUAUAUUGGUGAGUCAUGAUAAUUGAGCAGAUCGCUUUUCGGAGCGAUGAAUCGUUUGAGUUUCUGCCCCAUCAGUUGUCGACGGUAGGGUAUUGGCCUACGGUGACUAUAACGGGUGACGGGGAGUUAGGGCUCGACUCCGGAGAGGGAGCCUGAGAGACGGCUACCACAUCCAAGGAAGGCAGCAGGCGCGUAAAUUACCCAAUGUGGACUCCACGAGGUAGUGACGAGAAAUAUCAAUGCGGGGCGCUUCGCGUCUUGCUAUUGGAAUGAGAGCAAUGUAAAACCCUCAUCGAGGAUCAACUGGAGGGCAAGUCUGGUGCCAGCAGCCGCGGUAAUUCCAGCUCCAGAAGCGUAUGCUAAAGUUGUUGCAGUUAAAAAGCUCGUAGUUGAAUUUCUGGCGUGGGAGCCCGGGUCUUGGUGCGAAUGCGCCUUGUUUACCUAGCGGCUCCUUUGCCAUCCUUGUGUGUCUUCAGACGUCCAUCAUUUCAUGGAAUCCAAACCAAAUGGUCCAAGCCGGGCGUAAGGCCCGGAUGGUUAUUAAGGGAAGGAUCGAAUGGAAUUCGGUGGUUUUUUGGUGGUUUGGCCCUCCUAAUUAUGGUUUAUAAGAACCGUCCGGGGGUUUCCGUAUUUAGGAACUAAAAGUUAAAUUUUUGGAAUUCCGAAAAACCAACUUACACGAAAGGCUUUACCAAGCCAGGUUUUCAUUAAUCAAGAACGAAAGUCUGGGGGAUCGAAAAUUGAUUAAAUACCAUUCGUAGUCUAAAACCGUAAACGAAUGCCAACUUGCCAAUUGCGGGGUGGCUUAUUAAUUGGCCUUCCCGACCCACCCAAUGGAAAAAUCAAAGUUCUUUGGGUUCCCCGGGGGGAAUUUAGGUCCCCAAGGCUUGAACCUUUAAGGAAUUUGACGGAAGGGCCCCCCCCCGGAGUGGGACCCUCGGGGCCUUAAUUUGAUCUUAACCCGGGAAAACCUUACCAGGGUCCCAACCUAAAGUGGGGAAUUAAAAAAAUUGGAAAACCCUUUUUUUGAAUCCCUUCGGGGGGGGGGGGGCCGGGGGGCGCCUUUAAAUUUGGGGGGAAAAAUUUUUUUCCGGGGGGUAUUUCCUUUUUACAGAGAAAAAACCUCCCCCCCCCCUUCAAAAAUUUUUUCUUAAAAGGGGGCAACAAUUUUAUAAGAGGAUUUCUCUUAAAGGGAACACGGUUGGCGGCUUUUUAAAAAAGGGAGGAAUUUUUUCGGGCAAAAAAAACGCCGCGGGUUAAAAGGCCCCCUUAAAAAUUUUUCUGGCGGGGCCCCCCGCCCCGCCCUUCUAAAAAAGAGUUUUGCCCCGCGGGGGU
rnacentral:rRNA from 1 species